CAAAACAUAGCCCUCGGUAAUAUCGAAGGUGCAACCUGCCCAAUGGUUUUCAAUUUAAUAAGAUUGACUUCUUAAAAGAAGACUUAAAGGACGCAGUAUCCUGACUGUGAUAAUGUAGCAUAAUCACUCGCCAUUUAAUUGAUGGAUAGUAUGAAUGGUUAAACGAAUAUUACACUGUCUCAGAUAAAAUCUAUAUGAAAUUAAAAUAAUAGUAAAGAUGCUAUUUAAAACUGUAAGACGAAAAGACCCUAUAGAGCUUGACUACAUUCUCUUUCAAAAAAAAACCAGAGAAAAACCUAAAAAAAAGAGAGAAAGGUAGUUUAGUUGGGGCGACUUUCUUCUAAAGUAAACGAAGAUAAGCAAAGUUAACAAAAUAACUUAUUGUAAAACAAAUAUGUUUAACAAUUAUAAAAAUAGGCUGUAAUGACCCGUUAAAUAAAAAUAGAAUUUUUAACGAUCAAUAAAUAAAAGCUACCUUAGGGAUAACAGGAUAAUUUCGUUUUAGAGAUCUAUUCA
rnacentral:rRNA from 1 species